GCGGGGGUGCCCGAGCCAGGACAAAGGGGGCGGGCUGAGGCCCCGCUGGCGUAGGCCUGCGUGGGUUCAAAUCCCACCCCCCGCACCA
rnacentral:tRNA from 1 species